UACGUAGGCAGCAAGCGUUGUUCGGAGUUACUGGGCGUAAAGGGUGCGUAGGCGGCUCUAUAAGUAUGGUGUGAAAUCUCCCGGCUUAACUGGGAGGGUGCGCUAUAGACUGUGGGGCUAGAGUGCGGGAGAGGAAAGUGGAAUUCCUGGUGUAGCGGUGAAAUGCGCAGAUAGUCAGGAGGAACACCGGUGGCGAAGGCGGAUCUCUGGGCCGAUACUGACGCUGAGGAGCGAAAGCGUGGGGAGCGAACAGG
rnacentral:rRNA from 1 species